rnacentral:rRNA from 1 species
AGAGUUUGAUCCUGGCUCAGAACGAACGCUGGCGGCGUGCUUAACACAUGCAAGUCGAACGUGAUCCAGAGCUUGCUCUGGUGAAAGUGGCGCACGGGUGAGUAACGCGUGGAUAACCUGCCCUGGUAUCUGGGAUAACAUCUCGAAAGGGGUGCUAAUACCGGAUAAGCCUACGGGGUCCUCGGACUCUGCAGGAAAAGGUGGCCUCUAUUUAUAAGCUACCGUAUCAGGAUGGGUCCGCGUACCAUUAGCUAGUUGGUGGGGUAAUGGCCCACCAAGGCGACGAUGGUUAGCUGGUCUGAGAGGAUGAUCAGCCACACUGGAACUGAGACACGGUCCAGACUCCUACGGGAGGCAGCAGUGGGGAAUUUUGCGCAAUGGGGGAAACCCUGACGCAGCAACGCCGCGUGAGUGAUGAAGGCUUUCGGGUCGUAAAGCUCUGUCAGAGGGGAAGAAAUGAGCCUGGCUAAUAUCCAGGUUUCUUGACGGUACCCUCAAAGGAAGCACCGGCUAACUCCGUGCCAGCCGCCGCGGUAAUUC